rnacentral:rRNA from 1 species
GAUGAACGCUGGCGGUAUGCUUAACACAUGCAAGUCGAACGGAACCUUUCGGGUUUAGUGGCGGACGGGUGAGUAACGCGUGAGAAUCUGCCCAUAGGUUGGGGACAACCACUGGAAACGGUGGCUAAUACCGAAUAAGCCGCAAGGUGAAAGAUUAAUUGCCUAAGGAUGAGCUCGCGUCUGAUUAGCUAGUUGGUGGGGUAAAGGCCUACCAAGGCACCGAUCAGUAACUGGUCUGAGAGGAUGGCCAGUCACACUGGGACUGAGACACGGCCCAGACUCCUACGGGAGGCAGCAGUGGGGAAUUUUCCGCAAUGGGCGAAAGCCUGACGGAGCAAUACCGCGUGGGGGAGGAAGGCUCUUGGGUCGUAAACCUCUUUUCUCAGGGAAGAAUAAAUGACGGUACCUGAGGAAUCAGCAUCGGCUAACUCCGUGCCAGCAGCCGCGGUAAUACGGAGGAUGCAAGCGUUAUCCGGAAUGAUUGGGCGUAAAGCGUCCGCAGGUGGCAGUACAAGUCUGCUGUUAAAGGUCAAGGCUUAACUUUGGACAGGCAGUGGAAACUGUACAGCUAGAGUAUGGUGGGGGCAGAGGGAAUUCCCAGUGUAGCGGUGAAAUGCGUAGAGAUUGGGAAGAACACCAGUGGCGAANGCGCUCUGCUAGGCCAUAACUGACACUCAGGGACGAAAGCUAGGGGAGCGAAUGGGAUUAGAUACCCCAGUAGUCCUAGCCGUAAACGAUGGAUACUAGGUGUAGCUUG